rnacentral:rRNA from 1 species
CCUACGGGAGGCAGCAGUGGGGAAUAUUGGGCAAUGGAGGAAACUCUGACCCAGCAAUGCCGCGUGAAUGAAGAAGGUCUUCGGAUUGUAAAGUUCUUUAGUCAGGGAAGAAGUCAAUGACGGUACCUGAAGAAUAAGCUCCGGCUAACUACGUGCCAGCAGCCGCGGUAAUACGUAGGGAGCAAGCGUUGUUCGGAAUGACUGGGCGUAAAGGGUGCGUAGGCGGAAUAUCAAGUCAGCGGUAAAAAUUCGGGGCUCAACCCCGUCGUGCCGUUGAAACUGAUGUUCUUGAGUGGGCGAGAAGUAUGCGGAAUGCGUGGUGUAGCGGUGAAAUGCAUAGAUAUCACGCAGAACUCCGAUUGCGAAGGCAGCAUACCGGCGCCCAACUGACGCUGAAGCACGAAAGCGUGGGUAUCGAACAGGAUUAGAUACCCCGGUAGUC